rnacentral:lncRNA from 1 species
AUGGGAGUUUGGGAGCCCCGAAAGGCAGAAAAGCUCAGUUUCCUGGUGGGGUCUGCUCAUUGUGCGCCAGGCGACUCCGCGGUGCGGGCAAGCCGGGGGGCCGGGAGGGCGCGGGCGGUGACUGCAGCCCCAGGAGGCCGGGGGAGAAGUUCUAGCCUCGCGGUCCCCGUCCCCGGGUUGCGAGAGAGCGUGCGACCUACGCUCCACGCGGCCCCCGAGGGCGCGCCGAGCCGAGCCCCGGGCCCAGUCCACGGCGGCGGGAACCCGCACCGUCCGACGCACGGGGCGGCCAGGCCGACGGCGGACGGCGCGGCGGGAGACUCCGGAUGGAAUAUUAUGUCUGUCUUCAACAGGACAGGUGACACUGUCCGAAUUGUAACUCUGAAGAGGACCUGAGCAAAGUUUGUUUUCAUGGAAACCCUUCUAGGGUCACCAUCAUAUCCUAAGGAAUCUUUGAUGUCCUAAAAUUUGCCUUUGAUACUCCUACUACUGUUGGCCACUUUCCUACUGAGACUUGCCAAGCAGAUCUAGGGAGCCUCGAGGAGCUCUGUUUUCUGAUGGUGACUGAUCCCAGAAAUGACCACCAGCCUCUCCCAGGACUGUAUCAACCUGCCUACCAUUGCUUUGUAGCACGUGAUCCUUUCUGUGCUCUAUGACCAUCACUCUCUGUUCAGUACAAGGGAACUCAGGUCACUCUGUAAAUGUGAUGUGGUUGCUGGACUGUGACACUGUAUGCGGGUGUAGCACCAUCCCCAUGAUCAUGGGUGGUCACUGGUGAUCCCUCUUUCUAUAGAGAUCUGAGAGCUUGAAAAGGGAUGGCAAGAACUUCAUCAAGAAUGGACUGUGCUGACUCUAUUCACAAUGCUUAACUGUGCUCACUAGUCUAUGAUUUUUGUGCCCAUACCUGCUGAAAACUGAAUCUCUGCAGAAUGAUCUAGAGCCCCCAUUCCCCAAGCCGUGGGUAAGUAGGAGCCACCACUGAGGGGGCUUAAAUUACUCUUCUGCAGACACUUAAGCAAAACUAAAAGAAGAAAUAAACAGUUUCAGAUGGA